GUUUUUAAAAUGAUCUUGGACACUCAGUUUCUAAGAGCAUAGAAAAGUAUUAGCAAAACCAUGUUUAAACUGAAAACUCUGAUAAACAAAAUUGUUUUUAUAUUUUUCAGUUAGAAAAUGUAAUACAUGCACCAUUGUACCAUUGUGAAUUAUAAACUUAAACUUUUUUUUGAAAGGAAGGAAUGCUAUCCAUGAUGAUGCAAAGCUGCGAACCCCUCAUGAUCUAUUGUUAGAUCUAUUGCCUCUUCUAAAGGAAGUCUACAGCUGUGCUGUUCAAUAUGAUAUCCACUGUAUAUAAGGGGCAGUGGCCACAUAAAGUUUGGCUACUAAGACUAAAGAAAUCCAUUUUGAAAUUUUAUUUAAUGUUAAUUAAAUUAAAAAUUUAAUAGCUGCAUGUGACUAGUGGCUAUAAUAUUGGUAAGUGCAAUCUUACACAAUAAAAAAGAAAGAACUCUAGUUCCUAGGAAAUCAUUUUUGGCUUUUUAGUGCCUGAAAUUUUGGCAGUAGAUUGCUAUAUCCCAACUGGGCUCUUAGAUUUUUCCAGACUAAACAGGUUAAUGUAGAUGAAAGUUUAAGCACAGUCUGUGACAGUGAAGUGGUAUGUAUGCUCACUCAAUUACUUUACUACCACCGUUGUUAAUGUUUCUACACAGGCAUCUUUCCUUCCAAAUUCCCUGGCUUUCUAAGAAGUUCACCCACAAUUCUGCAUGUGGGAGAGCAGCUUUGGUGUGAGUUUCUCAUUGCUCUUGGCUCCACUUCACAUUUGACUUCUUUCAGAUUGAAGUUGGGAAAAGCAAUCACUGUCAGAAAGCAAACCCUCUUGUGCCUGGUGCUCAGCUGGAAGAUUGUUCUGGACUCUGGGUGGGUAUCAUAUGUGUAUGUACAGGGCUGUAUACUCGCACUCAGAGAUCGGGACUCUUAAGCAACUCUAAUUAGGAAGUUAAAUAAAUACAGAAAUCUUUAAGAAUUAUCUCAACCCUAUUCUCUUCUCAAUCUAUGUAUCUAUCUCUGGAUCAGGCCAUUGUGUGAUAUGAAAAUCUUUCCUAUGUUAGGAAGCAGAAUGAGGUUAUGAUGUAUUAUUUUUAUUGUGUUAAGUUUUCUUUCAGUGUAAAAUUCAAGAGAUUAAAGCCAAAAUAGAAUUAUAUAAACUACACUGUGUAUUCAGUUGUGUGCCUCUGUAUGAACAAUUAUAUAAACUUGUUCAAAUUGUUCCUAGACUGUUUUUUAAUAUUCAUUUAAAUUGCAAUGUGAACUCUUAAUCUCAUUUUUG
rnacentral:lncRNA from 1 species